rnacentral:rRNA from 1 species
ACAUGGCAAGUCGAACGCUUUCUUUUUCCACCGGGAGCUUGCUCCACCGGAAAAAGAGGAGUGGCGAACGGGUGAGUAACACGUGGGUAACCUGCCCAUCAGAAGGGGAUAACACUUGGAAACAGGUGCUAAUACCGUAUAACAAUCAAAACCGCAUGGUUUUGAUUUGAAAGGCGCUUUCGGGUGUCGCUGAUGGAUGGACCCGCGGUGCAUUAGCUAGUUGGUGAGGUAACGGCUCACCAAGGCCACGAUGCAUAGCCGACCUGAGAGGGUGAUCGGCCACAUUGGGACUGAGACACGGCCCAAACUCCUACGGGAGGCAGCAGUAGGGAAUCUUCGGCAAUGGACGAAAGUCUGACCGAGCAACGCCGCGUGAGUGAAGAAGGUUUUCGGAUCGUAAAACUCUGUUGUUAGAGAAGAACAAGGAUGAGAGUAACUGUUCAUCCCUUGACGGUAUCUAACCAGAAAGCCACGGCUAACUACGUGCCAGCAGCCGCGGUAAUACGUAGGUGGCAAGCGUUGUCCGGAUUUAUUGGGCGUAAAGCGAGCGCAGGCGGUUUCUUAAGUCUGAUGUGAAAGCCCCCGGCUCAACCGGGGAGGGUCAUUGGAAACUGGGAGACUUGAGUGCAGAAGAGGAGAGUGGAAUUCCAUGUGUAGCGGUGAAAUGCGUAGAUAUAUGGAGGAACACCAGUGGCGAAGGCGGCUCUCUGGUCUGUAACUGACGCUGAGGCUCGAAAGCGUGGGGAGCAAACAGGAUUAGAUACCCUGGUAGUCCACGCCGUAAACGAUGAGUGCUAAGUGUUGGAGGGUUUCCGCCCUUCAGUGCUGCAGCUAACGCAUUAAGCACUCCGCCUGGGGAGUACGACCGCAAGGUUGAAACUCAAAGGAAUUGACGGGGGCCCGCACAAGCGGUGGAGCAUGUGGUUUAAUUCGAAGCAACGCGAAGAACCUUACCAGGUCUUGACAUCCUUUGACCACUCUAGAGAUAGAGCUUCCCCUUCGGAGGGCAAAGUGACAGGUGGUGCAUGGUUGUCGUCAGCUCGUGUCGUGAGAUGUUGGGUUAAGUCCCGCA